rnacentral:rRNA from 1 species
UACAGAGGUGGCAAGCGUUGUUCGGAAUUACUGGGCGUAAAGGGCGCGUAGGCGGCCAUCUAAGUCAGACGUGAAAGCCCCCCGGCUCAACUGGGGAGGGUCACGCGAUACUGAUCGACUCGAAGGCAGGAGAGGGUAGUGGAAUUCCCGGUGUAGUGGUGAAAUGCGUAGAUAUCGGGAGGAACACCAGUGGCGAAGGCGACUACCUGGCCUGUUUCUUGACGCUGAGGCGCGAAAGCGUGGGGAGCAAACAGGG